UGCCAGCAGCCGCGGUAAUAUGGAGGGUGCGUGCGUUAAUCGGAAUUACUGGGCGUAAAGAGCACGUAGGCGGUUUGGUCAGUCGGAUGUGAAAGCCCCGGGCUUAACCUGGGAAUUGCAUUCGAUACUGCCAAGCUAGAGUUUAGUAGAGGAAUGCGGAAUUCCGGGUGUAGCGGUGAAAUGCGUAGAGAUCCGGAGGAACAUCAGUGGCGAAGGCGGCAUUCUGGACCAAUACUGACGCUGAGAUGCGAAAGCGUGGGGAGCGAACAGGAUUAGAUA
rnacentral:rRNA from 1 species